ensembl:lncRNA
GAGAAGGAGGGGUGGGCAGCUGAAAGGAGGUCAGUAGCGAGACAUGUUGUUUCGGCCUGGCAUUCGAGAGGGCCUAGUGCACUGUUCGGUUAACUUCUUGUGUCUGAGGUUUUUCACUUUAACAUGAAUGAAGUUGAUGGGUUUUAGGCACUGUGGUAACUGAAUAUCACUAAGGUUUUUAUUGACGAAGGGACUUUUAGAUUGCUUCAGCUGCUGCUCACUAACUCUCACGUUCCUCUGCUCGCGAUGCGAUUCACAUAUCGAUCAAUUUAUUCAAAAGAUCCAAAGACAAAGAACAGGUACAUUAUGGUAUCAUUUUAUAUUAUUAUUUAUAGUCUUAUUGUUAAUGGCUUCAGUCGCGUUGGUAUUUAAUUUUUCAUUUGCUCGUUUAUGUAUGACAGUUAACAAUGUUGGUGUAUUACAAUUAUUUACGCGUGUAGGCCACUCCAACUCUCGAUAUUUCAAAUAGAUUAGUGUGCUCUCUCAGAGCUGGGAGAUUUCAUCCUUAUUUUAACAUAUUACUCGAGACGGUGUUUCUCACAGCGUUCUCGGGUUCAUGCGUUCUCGGGUUCAUGCGUUCAUGCGUCCAUGCAUACAUGUCUCCUACUCAGACUUUUCCCCUACACGGGGUAUUUAAUUUUUCAUUUGCUUGUUUAGCUAUGUAUGACAGUUAACAAUUUUGGUGUAUUACAAUUAUUUAUGUGUGUUGGCCACUCCAACUCACACUCGAUAUUUUGAAUAGAUUAGUGUGCUCUCUGGGAGAUUUCAUCCUUAUUUUAACAUAUUACUCGAGACGGUGUUUCUCACAGCGUUCUACGGGUUCAUGCGUUCUACGGGUUCAUGCGUUCUACGGGUUCAUGCGUUCUACGGGUUUACGCGUUUACGCGUUCUACGGGUUUACGGGUUUACGCGUUCUUGCGUUCAUGCGCACACGUCUCCUACUCAGACUUUUUCCCCUACACGGGGCCUUUUGCCCCUACACGGGGCCUUUUGCCAAAAAUGCCACAAGGCAUUUUUCCAUCUAAAAGCGAUAGCCUAGGAGCAGCUGUUACUAUUAUCAUUUCAAGAAUCAACAACUCUCUGUCCUUACGCUUCCAUGUUCCUUUAUCUCAAGCUUCGGCAAUGCACGUCCCCGAAUCACCUGUUUAUUUGCGGCCUGCCAAUGCCUCAAGGGUGGUUCAGAGUCCAUCUCGCGACGGUGGUAGAAGGGUGCGGCCUACCAUCUCCCCUCUACACUCAGUGGCGCCACCAUGGGGUGGCGAGGGGUGGCUACUGCCACCCCAAAAUCAUUCUUUGCCACCCCUAAGACAAUUUUUAUAAUGCAUAUUUAUUUAAAAUAUAUAAUGUAGUCUAGAUUAUAUUAUAACGUAGUCCCCCCCCCCCCCCCCGGCCAACAAUCGCUGCCCGGGAUGUUUAUAGAUUUGCUGUGGCCCCCAUUGGCCACCCCUGGAAUAAUCUUCUGGAGGCGCCACUGUCUACACUGGCCACUCCUCCCGGAUUGGAGCGGCAACCACAGCCGCUGAACAAGGGUUGCCGGUCGCGUCUAUCAAACGGCUGGGAAGGCGGUCUUCCACAGCUUACGAAUCCUACAUCCGGUUGAAUUCAUGGUUCUUCCUCCAAGCGCACAUGAUGCUCUAACGUCGGUUAAGGCAGGUUUAUCACGUUUGCUACUACAGCUGUUUUUGGCGGCCUGUUUCCAUUCUAGUUUUAGUCUUGGUGUCAAGGUGUCAUUUUUGUUUUUAUUAGUUUAGUCACGUUCAUACUCUUUCCAGUGAUAUCGAAAUUCCGUUUAGGUAUUAUCAAAGAUACAAGUGCGUAGAUUUGUUAAAUAAGGUAAACGGUCGAAAAUUGAUGUCGUUAUGUCUCAACAGUUGAAGUUCCAGUUGGACAAAAUAACGUAUUACAGUUUAUCGCCUAGUUUAGGUCAACGGAAAUGAAGACAUUUUAGCAGUCUUAUUUUGUAAAACACUUUCAGUCUCGUUUGUAUUCGCCAACAACAUUGCACUACGUAUUUAAUUAUAGUUAUUGUCAUAUGACCAGCAUUGUUCUCCUCACGCGAUAAAGGUUCGUUGAUGACGACAUUUAGUCAUAAUUUUUGGUGUCAAAAGCAACACUAUUUGCAACUACUGGUGGUGGUGGUGGUGGUUAUCAGGUACUAACUCAUAAAGCAAAAUUUGGCUAUAUAACUCAAGGUUAACCUGCAGCAACCCCGGCAAGUUUGACCACGUCGGUGGAUCAUCUAGAAAACACUCUUGAGUUCGGUGUCACGUUGGUGGCAUAUCAUGGAAAAAAAUAAAACUCAAGGUUCGCAGCGGCGACCCCGGUGAGUGCGUUGGCCAAAGCGCAGCGGUAAAAACUCGGGCACUCGUAACUAUGACCACGUCGGUGGCACGUUAUCUAUUACUCAGGGUUGACUGCAGUAACCCCGGUGAGUGCGUUGACCAUGUCAACGCACAAUUGGGGCACAACUCAGGCACUCGUGAGUUUGUUGCACACGUCGGUGCGGUACAACACAGUACUCAACGUCCUACAUCAGGUCGAGUUCAAGGUUCUUUCUUCAAGCGCACACGAUGCUCUCUAACGUCGGUUAAGACAGGUUUUACACGUUUGCAACCAUAGCUGUUUUUGGCGGCCUGUUCCUUUCUAGUGUUAGUCUAGUCUUGUGUCAAGCUGUCAUUUUAGUUUUUAUUAGUUUUAGUUACAUUCAUACUCUUUCCAGUGUUAUCGUAAUUACAUUUAGAUAUUAUCGAAGUUACAAGUGCGUAGUUUUGUUAAAUAAGGUAAACGGUUGAAAAUUGAUGUUAUGUCUGGAACAGUUGAAGUUCCAGUUGAACAAAAUAACGUUAUAAGUCUUUAUCGCCUAGUUUAGGUCAACGAAAAUGAAGAGACAUUUUAGCAGUCUUAUUUUCGUAAAACACUUUUUAGUCUUGUUUUAUUCGCCAACUAUAUUGUACUAUGCUUUUAAUCAAAGCUAUUGUCACACGCCCAGCAUCCACGUUACGUCCAGUCUCGUUUUUCUCACGCGAUAAAGGCUUGUUGAUGACGACUCUUAGUCAUAAUUUUCAUUGCCAAAAGCAACACUAUUCUGGCGGCCUGUUUCCAUUCCAGGGUUAUUCUAGUCUUAGUGUCUAGCUGUUAUUUUAGUCUAUUCGUUUUAGUUACGUCUAUAUUCUUUCUAGUGUUAUCGAAAUAUAUUGCACUAUGUAUUUAACUACAGUUAUUGUCACACGCCCAGCAUGCACGUUGCGUCCUGUUUGUUUUUUGUUUGUUUGUUUUUCUUUCUCACGCGAUAAAGGUUCGUGAUGACGAUAUUUUGUCAUUAUUUUCGUUGCUAAAAGCGACAUUAUUUGCAACUACUGGUGGUGGUGGUGGUUAUCAGGUACUAAAUUCAUAAAGCAAAAUUCGGUUUCAUAACUCAGGUUAACCUGCAGCAACCCCGGCGAGUGUGACCACGUCGGUGGAUCAUCUAGAAAACACUCUUGAGUUCGCUGUCACGUCAGUGGCGUAAAAUAGGAAAAUAAAACUCAAGGUUGCAGCGGCAACCCCGGUGAGUGCGUGACCACGUCGGUGGCACAUCAAGGGCACUCGUGAGUAUGACCACGUCGGUGGCACGUUAUCUAGUACUCAUGGUUUGUCUGCAGUAACCCCGGUGAGUGCGUUGCCCACGUCGGUGGGAACAACUCAAGCACUCGUGAGGUCGGUGCGGUACAACACAGAACUCUACGUUCGUUGCAGCAAAUCCGGUGAGUGCGUUGCCCACGUCGGUGGGAACAACUCAAGCACUCGUGAGUUCGUUGCGCACGUCGGUGCGGUACAACACAGAACUCCACGUUCGCUGCAGCAACCCUGGUAGUGCGUUGACCACGUCGGUGGGCACUACUCAGGCACAUGCAAAUUUAAUUACCACGUCGGUGGCAUAAUAUCAAAAGCUCAAGUGCAGGGCACUCGGAGUUCAUUGACCACGUCAGUGUUUAACACGGAAGUUCACAAUAUUUGCUGCAGCAACACCGGUGAGUGCGUGACCACGUCGGUGGCACAGCAAGGGCACUCGUGAUUUCGUUGACCACGUCGGUGUUCAACACGGAACUUCACAAUAUUUGCUGCAGCAACACCGGUGAGUGCGUGACCACGUCGGUGGCACAUCAAGGGCACUCGUGAGUUCGUUGACCACAUCGGUGGUUCAACGCGAAAGCACUCAGGUCACGCAGCGACCCUGGAGAGUGAAUCGACCACGGCAGUUGGUACAGCACGAAAGCACUCGUGGCUCGCUGCGUAACAGCUGCAGAGUGCUCUAAAUUUUAAUUGAUCUCGCUGAGGUAUUUUAAGUCGACUGCUUUUACGUGAUUCAUCGAUCUCGCUGACGGUCUUAAGCUUAUCGUUUUAUGGUAUGUAUGAUUGACUCUUAAUAUGUCGUAUAUUGGGUAUGCCUUUUAUCUUCCAGAAGCAGUAUAGAUCCUUGUCCACUUCUUCUACGCGGGUAUGUAUGGUCUCAUUACCCCCUUUCGCUAUUCUAUUUUUGGGGUCGGCUCUGCCCCUGCCAGUCCCGGCAGGACAUGCCGAGGUAUCUCCUACUUCUGGCGAAGGCCUACGUCCUCUCUUUUGGGGAAGGCUCCGCCCCUGCUAGUCCUGGCAGGAUACGCCGAGUCCGCACGUCACCCUGGAUCAGUGACGAGGCUCAUGCCAAAGAUUUACCAUGCAAAAUAUUCCCAUGUCGUUAUUUAAAUAAAUCCUGUUCAUACUUAUCGGUGAUCGAGUCUUUAUGGGAGAAAUGUUAAGCUUGCUGGUAGUUCUACCAGGAGGACUCAAAUCACGCGCGGCUGGCCGCCAAUCACCAAUCACCAGCUACCAAUCACCUGCCUACACCUGCUCUAUAAAGAGUAGUCUAACAUAUGUCUUUGCUGCUCAGGUCUUCGUUCGACGCACCUCCAUCCACCCCACCACCACCAGGUCGGCCUCAGUCUACUUGUCCAGGGGAAGGCUCCGCCCCUGCUAGUCCUGGCAGGAUACGCCGAGUCCGCACGUCACCCUGGAUCAGUGACGAGGCUCAUGCCAAAGAUUUACCAUGCAAAAUAUUCCCAUGUCGUUAUUUAAAUAAAUCCUGUUCAUACUUAUCGGUGAUCGAGUCUUUAUGGGAGAACUUGUCAUGCUGUCCAAUAUAAUUUGAACCUCUGGUUCAUGUUCUUUUAUUUUUGUGUAGCUGAUGUGGGUUGGUGUGCUACACCACGUUCGUAAUGAACAUGUUUGGGCCACCGGCUGUUGUGAACAUGAGCCCCUGGACGGGGACAGUGGAGAUAAGCCCUGAAUCGUACAAGGUAAUUAACGAACAAUAAUACAAGAGCAGAAUUGAUUCCCCUGUAUGGAUGCAGCCAUUUCAUUCUCCAUGUGUGAUGUGUUGUGAUAACAGAUUCUGCUCCUGUAUGGAUGCAGCCAUUUUACUUACUAUGUGUUGUGUGUUGUGAUUACAGGUUAUGCAUGUCACAAGGCACUGACUGCAGUCGUGCUGGAAAAUAGGUUUUUGAACCUGGUGAAGAAGUUUCUUAACUUCAGGUGAGCAUUUUCAUUGGUAUUACUUUUAGAUGCACCACAUGAUUUUAAUGUCA